AUUGAACGCUGGCGGCAUGCUUUACACAUGCAAGUCGAACGGUAACAGGCCGCAAGGUGCUGACGAGUGGCGAACGGGUGAGUAAUGCAUCGGAACGUGCCCAGUCGUGGGGGAUAACGCAGCGAAAGCUGCGCUAAUACCGCAUACGAUCUAUGGAUGAAAGCGGGGGACCGUAAGGCCUCGCGCGAUUGGAGCGGCCGAUGUCAGAUUAGGUAAUUGGUGGGGUAAAGGCUCACCAAGCCAACGAUCUGUAGCUGGUCUGAGAGGACGACCAGCCACACUGGGACUGAGACACGGCCCAGACUCCUACGGGAGGCAGCAGUGGGGAAUUUUGGACAAUGGGCGCAAGCCUGAUCCAGCAAUGCCGCGUGCAGGAAGAAGGCCUUCGGGUUGUAAACUGCUUUUGUACGGAACGAAACGGUCCUGGUUAAUACCCGGGGCUAAUGACGGUACCGCAAGAAUAAGCACCGGCUAACUACGUGCCAGCCGCCGCAGUAAGAC
rnacentral:rRNA from 1 species